GAUGAACGCUAGCGAUAGGCUUAACACAUGCAAGUCGAGGGGCAGCAUAGGAGUAGCAAUACUUUGGUGGCGACCGGCGCACGGGUGAGUAACACGUAUGCAACCUGCCCAUAACUGGGGGAUAACCCGUCGAAAGGCGGCCUAAUACCGCAUGACGACGAUGAUCCGCAUGGUGAUUCGUCUUAAGAUUUAUCGGUUAUGGAUGGGCAUGCGUUCCAUUAGAUUGUUGGUAGGGUAACGGCCUACCAAGUCUUCGAUGGAUAGGGGUUCUGAGAGGAAGGUCCCCCACACUGGUACUGAGACACGGACCAGACUCCUACGGGAGGCAGCAGUGAGGAAUAUUGGUCAAUGGGCGAGAGCCUGAACCAGCCAAAUCGCGUGAAGGAUGAAGGUAUUAUGUAUUGUAAACUUCUUUUGUCAGGGAAUAAAGUGCGGCACGUGUGCUGUUUUGUAUGUACCUGAAGAAUAAGGAUCGGCUAACUCCGUGCCAGCAGCCGCCGUAACAC
rnacentral:rRNA from 1 species